rnacentral:rRNA from 1 species
CAAUAGCGUAUAUUAAAGUUGUUGCGGUUAAAAAGUUCGUAGUUGGAUUUCUGCCAAGGACGACCGGUCCGCCCUCUGGGUGAGUAUCUGGCUUGGCCUGGGCAUCUUCUUGGAGAACGUCGCUGCACUUCACUGUGUGGUGCGGUAUCCAGGACUUUUACUUUGAGGAAAUUAGAGUGUUUCAAGCAGGCUUCCGCCUUGAAUACAUUAGCAUGGAAUAAUAAGAUAGGACCUCGGUUCUGUUUUGUUGGUUUCUAGAGCUGGGGUAAUGAUUAAUAGGGAUAGUUGGGGGCAUUCGUAUUUAACUGUCAGAGGUGAAAUUCUUGGAUUUACGGAAGACGAACAUCUGCGAAAGCAUUUGCCAAGGAUGUUUNCAUUGA